rnacentral:rRNA from 1 species
AUACGGAGGGUGCAAGCGUUGUUCGGAAUUACAGGGCGUAAAGCGCGUGUAGGCGGAUAGAAAGGUCAGGUGUGAAAGCCCUUGUCUCAAACAAGGAAGUGCAUCUGAAACCAUCUAUCUUGAGUACGAUAGGGGAGAGCAGAAUUCCCAGUGUAGGGGUGAAAUCCGUAGAUAUUGGGAGGAAUACCAGUUGCGAAGGCGGCUCUCUGGACGAUGACUGACGCUGAGACGCGAAAGCGUGGGGAGCAAACAGGAUUAGAAACCCGAGUAGUCC